rnacentral:tRNA from 1 species
UUAAUUGAAACCAAAAAGAGGUAAAUUACUGUUAAUAAUUUUAUUGAGUUAUACUCCAAUUAAA